rnacentral:rRNA from 1 species
CCCAGACUCCUACGGGAGGCAGCAGUGGGGGAUAUUGCACAAUGGGGGAAACCCUGAUGCAGCGACGCCGCGUGAGUGAAGAAGUAUUUCGGUAUGUAAAGCUCUCUCAGCAGGGAAGAAAAAAGACGGUACCUGACUAAGAAGCCCCGGCUAACUACGUGCCAGCAGCCGCGGUAAUACGUAGGGGGCAAGCGUUAUCCGGAUUUACUGGGUGUAAAGGGAGCGUAGACGGCAAUACAAGUCGGAAGUGAAAUACCCGGGCUCAACCUGGGAACUGCUUUGGAAACUGUAUGGCUGGAGUGCUGGAGAGGUAAGCGGAAUUCCUAGUGUAGCGGUGAAAUGCGUAGAUAUUAGGAGGAACACCAGUGGCGAAGGCGGCUUACUGGACUGUAACUGACGUUGAGGCUCGAAAGCGUGGGGAGCAAACAGGAUUAGAUACCCUGGUA